CUACGUGCCAGCAGCCGCGGUAAUACGUAGGGUGCGAGCGUUAAUCGGAAUUACUGGGCGUAAAGCGAGCGCAGACGGUUACUUAAGCAGGAUGUGAAAUCCCCGGGCUCAACCUGGGAACUGCGUUCUGAACUGGGUGACUAGAGUGUGUCAGAGGGAGGUAGAAUUCCACGUGUAGCAGUGAAAUGCGUAGAGAUGUGGAGGAAUACCGAUGGCGAAGGCAGCCUCCUGGGAUAACACUGACGUUCAUGCUCGAAAGCGUGGGUAGCAAACAGGAUUAGAUACCCUGGUAGUCCACGCCCUAAACGAUGUCAAUUAGCUGUUGGGCAACUUGAUUGCUUAGUAGCGUAGCUAACGCGUGAAAUUGACCGCCUGGGGAGUACGGUCGCAAGAUUAAAACUCAAAGGAAUUGACGGGGACCCGCACAAGCGGUGGAUGAUGUGGAUUAAUUCGAUGCAACGCGAAGAACCUUACCUACUCUUGACA
rnacentral:rRNA from 1 species